rnacentral:rRNA from 1 species
AUUGAACGCUGGCGGCAUGCUUUACACAUGCAAGUCGAACGGCAGCGCGGGCUUCGGCCUGGCGGCGAGUGGCGAACGGGUGAGUAAUACAUCGGAACGUGCCCAGUAGUGGGGGAUAGCUCGGCGAAAGCCGGAUUAAUACCGCAUACGACCUGAGGGUGAAAGCGGGGGAUCUUCGGACCUCGCGCUAUUGGAGCGGCCGAUGGCAGAUUAGCUAGUUGGUGGGGUAAAGGCCUACCAAGGCGACGAUCUGUAGCUGGUCUGAGAGGACGACCAGCCACACUGGGACUGAGACACGGCCCAGACUCCUACGGGAGGCAGCAGUGGGGAGUUUUGGACAAUGGGCGAAAGCCUGAUCCAGCAAUGCCGCGUGUGUGAUGAAGGCCUUCGGGUUGUAAAGCACUUUUGGCGGGAACGAAAAGGACUGUGCCAAUACCACGGUUCGAUGACGGUACCCGCAGAAUAAGCACCGGCUAACUACGUG